GCCUACAGCCAUACUACCCUGAACACGCCUGAUCUCGUCUGAGCUCAGAAGCUAAGCAGGGUCAGGCCCGGUUAGUAGUUGGACAGGAGACUGCCUGGGAACACCGGGUGCUGUAGGCU